CUCCUUAAUUCCAAAUGCACCCAUUCGACAGCUGCCAGAACCUCCAGCUUCAUCGUCUACUCUUGUGGGUUUGCUUCCACCUUUCUCUACCUCAACUUUGUAUUAUCCAACUCACAUAAGAGUGUUCACUGUUUGGAGGAGGUAAUGGGUUGUCCACCAUCGUGUGUCUUUGAGGGAGGUUGUCAUUUGGAGUUCGCAGCUGGACCAAAGGAUACUUGAGGAGUUGAAUUUGAUGAAAUUUUUAUAAGGAACAAACUACAAUUGAAGGCAAAAUAACACCACAAGGCUUGGAUAAAAAAAUGGACAUUGGAACACUUAGCCAAAAAUAUGGAUGCAACUUCCAGUGAGCCAACGAGAUUGAGCCACAACGCACCACUCCCUUGAUGAGAUUUUAAACAUGACGCAUUGGUCUUGCCACAUGAAAUGCAAUGUGCCGCAUUUCUUAGUCCACGGGAUAGGCAAGGCGAUGUGUUGGAUAUCCCACAUACGGCCAAUUUGCAAAUCCUUCUCCUACACGGCUAAGGCUUGGCAUAUUAGUAUAAAUAGGACAUUAUGCACGUUUUGUAAUCAUCUUGGAUGUCUUGGAAAAUUUUGGAGGCUGAUUCAACUCAUCACUUUUAGGUUUUACAUUCUUUAAAUUAGAUUAUUUAUGUUUUUUAUCAUUCAUACAAUUAUUUGGAUGAUGAUUAUGACUAUUAGUGGCUAAAAUCUCA